rnacentral:tRNA from 1 species
AGCUCAGUGGAUAGAGCAGCGGUUCCUAAACCGCGUGCGCUGGUUCAAUUCCGGCCGGGG